ACAUAAUGGAUCACACUAAGUUGGCACUGAUGCUAUAGUGCCCUAAGGUGCUGCUGCAUCUUCAGCUACCAGAAGGCAAGUACAAGUGAAGAUAACGUCGAAGACGUGCCGUGCUCCCCUUUCAUCAUUGGCAAAGGAGAAAACUUUCUGACUGCCGG